UACAGAGGGUGCAAGCGUUGUCCGGAAUUAUUGGGCGUAAAGAGCUCGUAGGCGGUUUGUCACGUCGGAUGUGAAAGCCCGGGGCUCAACCCCGGGAGGCGGGUGGAUACUGUCAAGCUCGAGUCCGGAAGAGGAGUGUGGAAUUCCUGGUGUAGCGGUGAAAUGCGCAGAUAUCAGGAGGAACACCAAUGGCGAAGGCAGCACUCUGGGACGUGACUGACGCUGAGACGCGAAAGCGUGGGGAGCAAACAGG
rnacentral:rRNA from 1 species